UACGAAGGGGGCUAGCGUUGUUCGGAAUCACUGGGCUUAAAGGGCGCGUAGGCGGGCUCACAAGUCAGGGGUGAAAGCCCACGGCUCAACCGUGGAAGAGCCUUUGAUACUGUGGGUCUCGAGGGAGGUAGGGGCGUGCGGAACUUCCGGUGGAGCGGUGAAAUGCGUAGAUAUCGGAAGGAACAUCGGUGGCGAAAGCGGCGCGCUGGACCUCUUCUGACGCUGAGGCGCGAAAGCCAGGGGAGCAAACGGG
rnacentral:rRNA from 1 species